ensembl:lncRNA
GCGGACGCAAUGAGGAUAAUGGCGGAAGACGGGGAAGAAGAUUCAGUCUGAGUUUAGUCUGAGAUUCAGGAUUUUCUUUUCAUUUUAAUCAGAUCUGAAGUAUCUAGAUUUGUAGAGGAAAACCUGAGCAGAUUUCUUCUUCUCUGAAUGAGGCCAUGUCUUCUUGAUUGAAGUUUAUAUAGGAAGGUCAGUGGUUGCUGCCUCGGGGCUCUGGGACUCCUUCAGGUGCUAUAUAUCACCCCGGCACAAUAAACGCCACUGGCUGUAUUUCUCAGGACAAAGGCAGGUGUCUCCUCGCAUCUCUGGUAAAGAUGAAUGUGUGGUCCGCGGUCAAGGAAGCAUUAGGUUUUAUUCAGCCAUGGGACCAGAGUGACUAAUAAGUGGGAUACAUCUGCAUGCAUUUCUGAAGGCGUCUCCCAGAAUCAGAGCUUAAACACAGGAUCAGCAUUAACAAAGGGAACGACUCCACCUGAUCUCUCCCAGCUUUGAUUCUGAGCUUCCAUUGACUUCUUUUGACUCUGUCAGUGCAUUUCUACCGAAGCACAACCACCUAAAUUAAACCUGUGAGUGGCUAACACCUGGGUAGCACCUUCCAAUUACACUAAUUGGUCUAUGGAGUAUAACAUGAGCAGCACUUCACACCCUUUGGGGUGCAGCAGCCAAUAAAAAGGGUUUCCUCUG